ensembl:lncRNA
GCAGCUCGCACAGACCUGCUGGGAGUUCAAUGUCCAUAUGGCUAAUAUGUCUUCUUCUGUGGUGCUUCCUCUGGAUGUCCUCCACGCUGGACAUUGUAAAGAUGUCUUCCUGUGUCUCCUUAAAAACGACCGGAGCUCCAGGUGCUUUUAUCAGCCCGUCAGCACCUCUCAGGCCCCUCGGACCGAUGACAGAGAGGUUUUAGGUCAGUGGGAUGGACUGAACCAACGUCCUCUGGGUUCAAGGACUGAUGCUAGUUUAGGUUUUAUGCACCGGAGGGCGACGGUGUAGAAACAGUUACAGAUUAACAGCGCUUGCAUUGUCUGCAGACACCUACUGUGUCAUCGCGGCUGCCUCGCCUUCACACUUUGCUUCCAGCGGCACUGCAGAGAACUGGUCCUAUGCACCUAAACCAUCUUUUGCCUCCAGCUCAGCGGAUCACCACCCAUUUUAGUCUUGUUAAGCUCUUAAAUGAACAAUACAUGGCGCUAUCUUCUCUGGCCUGGAGCUCAGUUAGGGCAACUGAGUUUACGCAACUAGUAAUAUUUAUCUGUGUUUGCUUUAGUAUUAACUAUUUCAUAUUUUGGCAGUGCAAUAUUUAACACAGCAAUUUGUCGGUGAAAAUGUUACAAAAAGCUGAAAACAGGCUGCUGUUGCCUGGUUAACGUUUCCUCUGUGUGCAUCUCCCUCAAUCUCUGCCUUGUGACCUCUAUUGACCCCUGCACUCCAUCCAUCCUGCCCCCCCCUCGGUGCUCGGGGUCAGUGUGGCCGGUGGCUGUCAGUGAAGGAUCACCUGAUCGUCUGCAGAGAGGAAUCUGCACGUCUUUAUGAUUGUUGUUCAUUUUAUUGUGUAUAUCCAGAAACCACAGAUGAACACUUUGCAGUCAUCUGCAGCGACCCGGGUGACCUCCUUCCAUCUGAGGGUUUAACCGCAGGCCUUCGCUCAGUGUCAGCCGUCAUCAGCUGAGUGCAUGAAGGAGGCUGUGUGCACCCUGAGCAGGGCGCUGUGGAACAUGGGGGGGUCUGUGUGGCCACCAUGUUGACCUCGUUGACCACAGCAGGACCAGUCUGCACACGCACACACAGCGACCCAAUCAAUAUGGAACUAAAGAAGGAGGCAGGACGUGUCAGGAGGAAGAUGGAGGAGGGUAAAUGAACGGUGUAAUUGAAAAUAUCCGUAACGGGGGCAGUGUUGGUGACUUUAAUCAAAUAAGCCACGAGCUGCGAUGUAAAGACAACCUUCUUUUUUAGCUUAAAAGUGCAUCAUGUGCCUAGAAAAUAAAGCAAGUGAAAUUCCUCCUGGAUGGAGUCGAGGUUUCCUCCAAACUAAAAGUAGUGAGAAAUAAUUUAGGAUGCAUUUAGCAGAGACUGAUCACAUGUCACUUAUCUGCAGUAAAGCACCAUUUCAAGUUACUUGUCAAAUAUCAAAAUAUAUCGAAACCUUUCACAGUUUGUUUCUCAUGUAGAUUUUAUGCUGUUUUACACGUUGUAACGUGUACAAAAGUUGCUAUAUAGCAAAUAAUGCAGGAUUGGGAGAACGGCUACUCUGUGACACCAGCGGCUCGUAGCUCAAAGUGCUAACGGCGCAAACAGUCAAAUCUGCUAAUUGCGCAAACAGUCAAAUCUGCUAACGGCGCAAACAGUCAAAUCUGCUAACGGCGCAAACAGUCAAAUCUGCUAACGGCGCAAACAGUCAAAUCUGCUAACGGCGCAAACAGUCAAAUCUGCUAACGGCGCAAACAGUCAAAUCUGCUAACGGCGCAAACAGUCAAAUCUGCUAACGGCGCAAACAGUCAAAUCUGCUAAUGGCGCAAACAGUCAAAUCUGCUAACGGCGCAGACAGUCAAAUCUGCUAACGGCGCUAACGUCAAAUCUGCUAACGGUGCUAACAGUCAAAUCUGCUAACGGCGCUAACAGUCAAAUCUGCUAACAGCGCUAACAUCAAAUCUGCUAACGGCGCUAACAGUCAAAUCUGCUAACAGCGCUAACAGUCAAAUCUGCUAACGGCGCAAACAGUCAAAUCUGCUAACGGCGCAAACAGUCAAAUCUGCUAAUGGCGCAAACAGUCAAAUCUAACCCAUCUAACCCAACCAAAGGAUGCUACGCUUCUGCACCACUGCGAGUGAUCAAAAUGACCUUUUAAUAUUAAGACGCAGGCCAUAUUAUUUGCUAAAAAAUAUAUACAUAUAUAAUAAAAAAGAAAUUAAAAAAACAGUUUUUGUAUUUCUUUAUGGAAAUAAAUGAUCAGACAUCUAUCAAACAGACAGGAUGUGUGGCAUGAAAUGUGUGGGUCUAGAGAGGGAAGUGUGUGUGUGUGUGUCAGUCAUACAUGUUAGUCCGUCUUGGUGUUUGAACAUGUUUGAAGGCAGCGACGAGGGAGCAGAAGGAGGAGAUAGCGAAGGAGGGGAAGCAGGAGACGAGUGGAGGAGGGGUAGACAGAGAGAGAGGGAGGGAGAGAGAGAGGGGGGAGGAGAGACAAGCCGACUGUGCACAAUGUUCAUUCAAAGUGACAGAGGCUGUGUGUGUCCUGGUUUGCACUUCCCAUUGCUCCACCGUCUCUCCCUCUCUGUCUCUCUCUGUCUGUCUCUCCCUCUCUGUCUCUCCCUCUCUGUCUCUCUCUGUCUCUCUCUCUGUCUCUCCCUCUCUGUCUCACCAGACAGUCUGCAGUUUCCAGCAGCAUGAAGACACCGGAGAGGAAGAAAGAACGGGAAAGACAAGGGAGAAGAAAGAAGGAAGGAAGUGAGGAAGAGUAGGGAUUUAUCAGCCAUGUGACGAAUUUGAACAGAGGAUGAGAGAGGGAGAGAGAGGGAGGGAGAGAGAGAGAGGGAGAGAGAGGGAGGGAGAGAGAGAGAGGGAGAGAGAGGGAGGGAGGGAGGGAGAGAGGGGUCUUUUCACUGGGAGGGGUCAGGAUUGAGGUUCAAAGACAGAGCAUGAAGACACCAUCACUGCUCCCCGGUAAGUCACUUUGCACCGUUGUUGCCUGCAUGUGUAGCUGUGCGCGUCGAGCAUCUGAUCCCAGAGCAGCCUGAGCUCUGCUUCCCAUCGCGGCUGCGUGGGAGAGACACGCGCGCCAUGUGACACUGUGUCAGGGUGUUUGCAGGAACCGAUGUAUGAUGCAACGCCAGGGAGGAGCGCCCAGACACGUCCACGGGUCCGUCCCGGAUCCCUCGUACCAUUGGCUGGUUACAAGUGGACGUGUGUGUGUGUGUGUUCCAUGUGGUGUGUGUGUUCCAUGUGGUGUGUGUGUGUUCCAUGUGGUGUGUGUGUGUGUUCCAUGUGGUGUGUGUGUGUGUUCCAUGUGGUGUGUGUGUUCCAUGUGGUGUGUGUGUGUUCCAUGUGGUGUGUGUGUGUUCCAUGUGGUGUGUGUUUUCCAUGUGGUGUGUGUGUGUUCCAUGUGGUGUGUGUGUGUUCCAUGUGGUGUGUGUGUGUUCCAUGUGGUGUGUGUGUGUGUUCCAUGUGGUGUGUGUGUGUUCCAUGUGGUGUGUGUGUGUUCCAUGUGGUGUGUGUGUGUGUUCCAUGUGGUGUGUGUGUGUGUUCCAUGUGGUGUGUGUGUGUGUGUUCCAUGUGGUGUGUGUGUUCCAUGUGGUGUGUGUGUUCCAUGUGGUGUGUGUGUGUGUUCCAUGUGGUGUGUGUGUUCCAUGUGGUGUGUGUGUUCCAUGUGGUGUGUGUGUUCUGUGGUGUGUGUGGGGUGUCUGGCCGCCCAGUGGACGUGAAUGACAAUUAGAUUAAAGUAUUGAUCCAGUCUGGAGCAGGUAUGUGUGGCCAGUAACAAUGCACGAGGUGAGGCCUUUCACACACACACUCACACACACACACACACACACACACACACACACACACACACCAGCAAACUAAAUAUGCAAAUAUGAUAAACAGCUGGAUAUUCAAACACAUACCGGCCGACCAGCACAGAGCAGACACACACAAACACACACACACACAGCCAACAGCUUCCCAGUGAUGGCGGUGCCUCCCUUGAACUCAUUCACCGGGGGUCAUGGGUUCAAGUCCCAAGUGAGGGAGGGGGCCCAGCGACUGGGGGGAGGAAGGGGAGCAGCACUCUACCCUCCCCCACGUCGUAUCUAUCUGUCCGCCCGGCCUCCACGUCUCCAUGUGCACACACAGGAAGUGUGUGUGUGCGCCGGGGCCCCGGCUGUUGGGGGGGUGGGCUUGGCCUCUGGUGGGUAAACAGAGCCACUCUGCCUCACUUAAUAAUAACAUAAGUGCGCGUUGUAUCGAAGCCAUUUUACGUUCCCUACCGUGGAACUGAAGCCCCCAAACACGCACACGUCUCACGUGUCAACACGUGCAAAGCGCAGCGCACACGUUCGCCGGUGUCUCUGGAAGUGCGUCCUUUUGUUUCUCGCCCUCGUUCCCAGUAGGAAAACCUUCACUUCUUACUGGAGGAUUCAAUUCAUUACUUAAAAUCCUUUCUCUCUUGAGUACAUUUGUUAUUCAAUCUAAACGUCCAGGCUGGUGUCUUGCUCAAGGGCACCUGAGGAACAGGCAGAAAUAGUCCCAGCGGACGCUGUGGAUGAAAGCGGACACACUACCUUGUGCGUGUGUGUAGACCGACAUCGCGUUGACAACACAACAUCUCCUCCAGCGAGAGACACACACAGCCUCUUUCAUAGGAAACUAGAGUGGCUAACCUUUGACCUUUACCAUUCAGCCUGUCUGGGUAAACCAGGUCUGGGAUCGAUCAACACUCCUCUAAGCCAGACGGCCCCCCGACAAACACCCACCCACCCAUCUUAUUCUGCCCCACCAUCAGCCCCCUGCUGGUCAGCUCUGUGGUAAAUGCACCCUGCUGCCCCCCCGCCACUCACACACCAUGUUCCAACAUCGCACGCGGAGUCCGCCGGCGAGUUCGGGGACGUUUGGACAGAUUCUAAUCCUUUCAACCAAAGUCUGGAUUGUUCAGUAGUGAAUCGUGACUGUUUGGAUAGAAGAGGAGCAGUGGUGGACAUAUUCAACAUCCCAAUAUUAGCAACUCAAUAAGUCAUCAAAGGGCCGGUAAGCUCGGCCCAGGUCAACGCCCCCCAUGAGUAUAAACAUCAAAAACCUUUUGCAACUGAAACGGGUCAAGGAGCAAAUAUCAGCCUGUGUCCUGUUCACAUUCCUGAUGCCUUCACUACAAAUAAAGGGUCAAAGGUGCACACUUUGUUAUUAGCAGUAUUUUAUAGAAAUGCUUGAAUAUUAAAACAUUUGAAUGACGUCCGUCACAUAAUAAUUUACAUUCACAAUGAGCCUUUUUUGAGUGUGUUUGCAUGUGAUGGGAAAUAAUUAACCAAUGUAAAUUCUAUUUGUUUUGAUACGUUUCUACCUAGUGACCAAACAUCUGUCAUUUAUCUUUCAGCGGCAGCCAUGUGUUGAGCCCUGGUUGUCAAGACGCCAGCUGUUUCUUGCAGUGAGUCCAUCUAAGCUACAAUCACUUGAUGUGACAAAGGGGAUCAUCCUGUAGAGAGCGCUGGACUUCGUUGGCGUUUUUCAAGUCUUGGGGAACAUUCAACGCUGUCGGUGAGUUUGUGAGCCAGAGAAACCACCGAGUGCUGAGUGUACCCUUACGCUUGAGCUCAUACGGGUCUGAAGUUCUCCUUCCCAUGUGUGCUUGACAUUACACACACAUUAAAUCACAGGCGUAAAUAAUAAUGCACACCCACUACAAGUCCAUUUUAUGCCUGUUCUGCUACGACAAAUUCUGUAAAAAAGCUGUUAAUAUAGAAUAAUAUAUUAAAUUAGAUUAAACUGGACAGGUUUCAGGUGUCAGAAAGACUGA